GAUGAACGCUGGCGGCGUGCUUAACACAUGCAAGUCGAACGAUGAAAGCGGGAGCUUGCUCCUGCUGGAUUAGUGGCGAACGGGUGAGUAACACGUGAGCAAUCUGCCCCGAACUCUGGGAUAAGCGUUGGAAACGACGUCUAAUACCGGAUACGACGCGCGAAGGCAUCUUCUGCGCGUGGAAAGAACUUCGGUUCGGGAUGAGCUCGCGGCCUAUCAGCUAGUUGGUGAGGUAACGCCCCACCAAGGCGACGACGGGUAGCCGGCCUGGGAGGGUGACCGGCCACACUGGGACUGAGACACGGCCCAGACUCCUACGGGAGGCAGCAGUGGGGAAUAUUGCACAAUGGGCGCAAGCCUGAUGCAGCAACGCCGCGUGAGGGACGACGGCCUUCGGGUUGUAAACCUCUUUUAGUAGGGAAGAAGCAAAAGUGACGGUACCUGCAGAAAAAGCACCGGCUAACUACGUGCCAGCCGCCGCCGUAACAC
rnacentral:rRNA from 1 species